UAACGGCUUACCAAGACAAUGAUACGUAGCCGACCUGAGAGGGUAAUCGGCCACAUUGGGACUGAGACACGGCCCAAACUCCUACGGGAGGCAGCAGUAGGGAAUCUUCCACAAUGGACGAAAGUCUGAUGGAGCAACGCCGCGUGAGUGAAGAAGGUUUUAGGAUCGUAAAACUCUGUUGUUGGAGAAGAACAGGGACUAGAGUAACUGUUAGUCCUUUGACGGUAUCCAACCAGAAAGCCACGGCUAACUACGUGCCAGCAGCCGCGGUAAUACGUAGGUGGCAAGCGUUGUCCGGAUUUAUUGGGCGUAAAGCGAGCGCAGGCGGUUUUUUAAGUCUGAUGUGAAAGCCUUCGGCUUAACCGAAGAAGUGCAUUAGAAACUGGGAAACUUGAGUGCAGAAGAGGACAGUGGAACUCCAUGUGUAGCGGUGAAAUGCGUAGAUAUAUGGAAGAACACCAGUGGCGAAGGCGGCUGUCUGGUCUGUAACUGACGCUGAGGCUCGAAAGUAUGGGGAGCGAACAGGAUUAGAUACCCUGGUAGUCCAUACCGUAAACGAUGAAUGCUAAGUGUUGGAGGGUUUCCGCCCUUCAGUGCUGCAGCUAACGCAUUAAGCAUUCCGCCUGGGGAGUACGACCGCAAGGUUGAAACUCAAAGGAAUUGACGGGGGCCCGCACAAG
rnacentral:rRNA from 1 species